UACGAGGGGUGCAAGCGUUGUUCGGAAUUAUUGGGCGUAAAGGGCAGGUAGGUGGUCUUGAAAGUCUACUGUGAAAUCCCCGGGCUCAACUCGGGAAGUGCGGUAGAUACUCCAAGACUAGAGUGCUGGAGGGGUGCGUGGAAUUCCCGGUGUAGCGGUGAAAUGCGUAGAUAUAUAGAUGAACAUCAAUAACGGCGAAGGCAGUUAACUAUUCUGUUACUGACACUGAGGCACGAAAGCGUGGGGAGCAAAACGG
rnacentral:rRNA from 1 species